UGAGUAACCUGCCCUUAACUCUGGGAUAAGCCUGGGAAAACUGGGUCUAAUACCGGAUAUGACUCCUCAUCGCAUGGUGGGGGGUGGAAAGCUUUUUGUGGUUUUGGAUGGACUCGCGGCCUAUCAGCUUGUUGGUGAGGUAAUGGCUCACCAAGGCGACGACGGGUAGCCGGCCUGAGAGGGUGACCGGCCACACUGGGACUGAGACACGGCCCAGACCUCCUACGGGGAGGCAG
rnacentral:rRNA from 1 species